ensembl:misc_RNA 7SK 7SK RNA
GGGUGUGAGGAUGAUCUGGCUGUAACAUCUGUCACCCCACUGAUGGCCAGGGUGGAUUCAGCUUAUCUGGCUGGCUAGGCAGGUAUUCCCUUCCUCCCUCACCAGUCCAUGCCCCUCCCCCUCCCAAAGCUGUGUGCUCCUGGAAGCAACCCAGGUGUCCAACAACAGAUGAGUGGAUGAGCAAGCUGUGGUCUAUAUACAUAAUUUAAUAUUACUCAGCUGUUAAAAAUAGUGAUUUCACCUAUUUCAGCCCAUCUUGGAUGGAGCUGAAGAAA